GCAGACGUGCAUGUUUUCUAGUACACAGUGCUGGUUAAACUUUCGUGACUAGAUUACAUGCUCGUCUGUU
rfam:Anopheles stephensi strain SDA-500 unplaced genomic scaffold supercont1.288, whole genome shotgun sequence.